GGAAAUGUGGCUCAGAAGUAGAGCAUUUGCCUAGCAUGCAAAAGGCCUUGGGUUCUAUCCUAACAUUACAA
rnacentral:tRNA from 1 species